rnacentral:tmRNA from 2 species
CCCCUUUCAUCGGCCGGCGGCGGCGCCUAUAUUCAGCGGGCCGGCGCAAGUCGGCUAUGGCGAUAAAUCGGUGUUGGAAUAAGCCUUUCGGACCCGGGGGCGGUACCCGGCGCCUCCACCAAAGCCCGUAUCCCCUCACCGGGAGACGGGCUCCGGCGGGGGCGAAAUAGGAUCGACGAGGGUGUAAAGAGCAUUCUUUCGCUCGGCAUUGUACCGCCGUUAUCGGGCUAAACUUAUAGUUGCCAACGACAACUAUGCUCCGGUUGCUCAGGCCGCGUGAGCGGUUUGACGAUCGAAAUCAAAGUCCUACCGGGUAGCACUGGAUAGGCGGGGUUCGGAGGCACCUGGCAACAGAAGCCUCCACU